AUUGAACGCUGGCGGCAUGCUUUACACAUGCAAGUCGAACGGUAACAGGCCGCAAGGUGCUGACGAGUGGCGAACGGGUGAGUAAUGCAUCGGAACGUGCCCAGUCGUGGGGGAUAACUACUCGAAAGAGUAGCUAAUACCGCAUACGAUCUAUGGAUGAACGCGGGGGACCGUAAGGCCUCGCGCGAUUGGAGCGGCCGAUGUCGGAUUAGGUAGUUGGUGGGGUAAAGGCUGACCAAGCCAACGAUCUGUAGCUGGUCUGAGAGGACGACGGGCCACACUGGGACUGAGACACGGACCAUACUCCUACGGGAGGCAGCAGUGGGAAAUGUUGGACAAUGGGCGCAAGCCUGAUCCAGCAAUGCCGCGUGCAGGAAGAAGGCCUUCGGGUUGUAAACUGCUUUUGUACGGAACGAAACGGCUCUGGUUAAUACCCGGGGCUAAUGACGGUACCGGAAGAAGAAGCACCGGCUAACUACGUG
rnacentral:rRNA from 1 species